rnacentral:rRNA from 1 species
CCUACGGGAGGCAGCAGUGAGGAAUAUUGGUCAAUGGGCUUACGCCUGAACCAGCCAAGUCGCGUGCGGGAAGACUGCCCUAUGGGUUGUAAACCUCUUUUGUCAGGGAGCAAUUGGCGCUACGUGUAGCGUUAUCGAGAGUACCUGAAGAAAAAGCAUCGGCUAACUCCGUGCCAGCAGCCGCGGUAAUACGGAGGAUGGGAGCGUUACCCGGAUUUAUUGGGUUUAAAGGGUGCGUAGGCGGAAUGCCAAGUCAGCGGUAAAAUCGCGGGGCUAAACCUGGCUCUGCCGUUGGAACUGGCGUGCUUGAGUGGGCGGGAAGUAGGCGGAAUGCGUGGUGUAGCGGUGAAAUGCAUAGAUAUCACGCAGAACUCCGAUUGCGAAGGCAGCAUGCCGGCGCCCAACUGACGCUGAAGCACGAAAGCGUGGGUAUCGAACAGGAUUAGAUACCCGUGUAGUC